UAAAAAGCCCUUUUCAGGGCUAACAUAAGAUUCCAAUAUAUAAUA
rfam:Papilio machaon contig52187, whole genome shotgun sequence.